UGGCUCAGUUGGUAGAGUGCUUGCCUAGCAUGCAAAAAGUCCUGGGUUUGAUUCCCAG
rnacentral:tRNA from 1 species